AAGUAUUCCGCCUGGGGAGUACGGUCGCAAGAUUAAAACUCAAAGGAAUUGACGGGGACCCGCACAAGUAGCGGAGCAUGUGGUUUAAUUCGAAGCAACGCGAAGAACCUUACCUACACUUGACAUCCCUUGCAUUACUCUUAAUCGAGGAAAUCCCUUCGGGGACAAGGUGACAGGUGGUGCAUGGUUGUCGUCAGCUCGUGUCGUGAGAUGUUGGGUUAAGUCCCGCAACGAGCGCAACCCUUGUCGUUAGUUACUACCAUUAAGUUGAGGACUCUAGCGAGACUGCCUGGGUUAACCAGGAGGAAGGUGGGGAUGACGUCAAAUCAUCAUGCCCCUUAUGUGUAGGGCUACACACGUGCUACAAUGGC
rnacentral:rRNA from 1 species